CCUACGGGCGGCAGCAGUGGGGAAUAUUGGACAAUGGGGGCAACCCUGAUCCAGCCAUGCCGCGUGUGUGAAGAAGGCCCUCGGGUUGUAAAGCACUUUCAGUGAGGAAGAACGCCUGGUGGUGAAUACCCAUCAGGAAAGACAUCACUCACAGAAGAAGCACCGGCUAACUCCGUGCCAGCAGCCGCAGUAAUACGGAGGGUGCGAGCGUUAAUCGGAAUUACUGGGCGUAAAGCGCGCGUAGGUGGCUUGAUAAGCCGGUUGUGAAAGCCCCGGGCUCAACCUGGGAACGGCAUCCGGAACUGUCAAGCUAGAGUGCAGGAGAGGAAGGUAGAAUUCCCGGUGUAGCGGUGAAAUGCGUAGAGAUCGGGAGGAAUACCAGUGGCGAAGGCGGCCUUCUGGACUGACACUGACACUGAGGUGCGAAAGCGUGGGUAGCAAACAGGAUUAGAUACCCCAGUAGUC
rnacentral:rRNA from 1 species